rnacentral:rRNA from 1 species
GUACGGUAAUUACGUGGGACGUAAAGCGCAUGCAGGCGGCCUAGUUAAGUCAGAUGUAGAAACGGCCCGGGGACCUUAACCGUACGGUAAGUUGCUAUUUAGUAAACGUGGCGAGGCUAGAGUCUUGUAGGAGGGGGGUAGGAAUUUCAGGUGUAGCGGUGAAAUGCGUAGAGAUCUGAAGGAAUACCAGUGGCGAAGGCGGCCCCCUGGACAAAGACUGACGCUCAGAUGCGAAAGCGUGGGGAGCAAACAGGAUUAGAUACCCUGGUAG